CGGGCGAGCCACAGCCGCCGCCCCCCCCCCGUCAGCGCAUGAACUCCGGGAUUAAAGGAGAAACUUGGACGGCGAUGAGACGCGCACAGAGUGGAGCUCUGCAUUGCAACGCACCCUUCAUUAAAGCACAACAACAACAAAAAUGAGGACAAGAAACGACACAUCCCGCUGUAGACGAAGGGGGAAAGAAAUGUUGACCCCAACCACAACAUUGAAACUAUUGUGUUGCUGAUCCUUAGCAGUAGCAGUGAACACAACUGUCGCCAGAACCUUGUCAGUCCUGGUCAGCUGGGGGAUGCCAGCAGCAGUUUCCGUGGCAACCCAAGCUGCUGCCUUCUGGGAAGAAAGACGAGUGACACAAACCUCUCUUCUGUGAGAAGCUGGCCGUGUUUCAGGGAGGAGGAGAGGAGGAACAGAGUGUUUCAUCCAUCUCCGGGAGAUUUGCAGAAAAGCAAGGAAACACACAGGAUCUUUUACAGACGGGAGCAGCAAACUGUGAAUGCAAAUCAGAGAUACCAGGGAACUGCUCACAGCUGUGGAAUCAGUAUCUGGCGGCUGGAAAGUUCCUGUUUCAUUUCUUCGCUCUCUGCCAUGGAAAACGUACAGCUGCCUUUCUCAGUGCACAGCUUGGAAAGAACGCUACCCAAAGCCCAUAAUCCACAAAUGGUAGGCCAGUUUUGCAUCUCGGUAGUGUGCGAUUGCCUGAGUACAGGGGACCUGGACUGACGUCCCGGCUAAGGCCUGCAGCAGCAGAUUAGUGUGACGGAGCCCCUGGAGAGACUGGAUCUGGCUCUCUUGAGUUAGUCACUGUGUUGUGUGUCUGGGUAGUGCAGCACAAUUGUCAUGCUGCUGUACUGCUUGAAAUAGGACGUCUGCUGGACCAGAAGAGGAGACAGCGAUGGCUGUGCUCUCAGGUAAACUGCUGCAGCCUCCACUAGAAAUGUAAAAAAAUUCUAAAACAACUUAGUUUGGGUGAGGAACAAAUAACCAUGUCAAUAAGCAAUCUUUAAUUCACAUUCAACAAUAUUCAAAAGCCUGGCCCUUGCAAUGUAAUGUAACUUACGCACUACCAAUCUACCAAUCUGAAGGGAUGUAGUAUCUAAUGUGUUACUUUUACAAGUCAAAUCUAAUUAGUUAAGCACAUUCCUAACAAAAAUUAUGAAUGAGAGAAGGUUAUUCAUUAGAAUUGUUUGGUUGCUUCUUUUUUAAGGAUGUCAUCCAGUUGUUUUUUGAAAGAAGCCGGGGUAUCAGCUUCAACAACAAGGUUGCAUAGCUUGUUCCACACUCCCACACCCCUUUGUGUAAUGAUGUGUUUCCUGUUUUUUCAAGGCGAUGUAAUUAUAUUACUUGUGCUUUCCACUUCUGUCCCCUGGUUUGCAUUUCACUGUUUAUU